rnacentral:rRNA from 1 species
GACGAACGCUGGCGGUGUGCUUAACACAUGCAAGUCAACGAGAAUUUAUCUUCGGAUAAUAGUAAAGUGGCGAACGGGUGAGUAACGCGUAAAUAACUUGCCUUGGAGAUUGGGACAACAUUGGGAAACCAGUGCUAAUACCAAAUAAUGCAGCGGGCCCUCCGGGGCAUAGUUGUUAAAGUAGGCUUCGGCUUACACUUCAAGAUAGAUUUGCGUCCGAUUAGUUAGUUGGUAGGGUAAUAGCCUACCAAGACCGAGAUCGGUAGCUGGUCUGAGAGGAUGAUCAGCCACACUGGAAUUGAGAUACGGUCCAG